UCGGCCCCAAUCAAGAGCAGCAGCUUGCAGUAGCUGCUAGUUUCUAACGGAGCCUAAAGUAAACUCCUUCCUGUGGUCUGUUGAUUAGUUUCCCCAGAAUUACAAAGGGACUUAUCAAUUCAGUUGGAAGGAACAAUA